rnacentral:rRNA from 1 species
UGGGGAAUUUUGGACAAUGGGCGAAAGCCUGAUCCAGCAAUGCCGCGUGUGUGAAGAAGGCCUUCGGGUUGUAAAGCACUUUUGUCCGGAAAGAAAUCCUUGGCUCUAAUACAGUCGGGGGAUGACGGUACCGGAAGAAUAAGCACCGGCUAACUACGUGCCAGCAGCCGCGGUAAUACGUAGGGUGCAAGCGUUAAUCGGAAUUACUGGGCGUAAAGCGUGCGCAGGCGGUUUGCUAAGACCGAUGUGAAAUCCCCGGGCUCAACCUGGGAACUGCAUUGGUGACUGGCAGGCUAGAGUAUGGCAGAGGGGGGUAGAAUUCCACGUGUAGCAGUGAAAUGCGUAGAGAUGUGGAGGAAUACCGAUGGCGAAGGCAGCCCCCUGGGCCAAUACUGACGCUCAUGCACGAAAGCGUGGGGAGCAAACAGGAUUAGAUACCCUGGUAGUCCACGCCCUAAAACGAUGUCAACUAGUUGUUGGGGAUUCAUUUCCUUAGUAACGUAGCUAACGCGUGAAGUUGACCGCCUGGGGGAGUACGGUCGCAAGAUUAAAAACUCAAAUAAAUUGACGGGGUCAUAGCUGUUUCCU